AAUCUUGUAGUUUAUAAAAAUUUUAAAUUGCAAAUUUAAAGAAGUACAAUUUGUGUAUACUAAGAUUU